GGCACUCUGAUAAGAGGUAGCCAGAAUUCUCUUAUCUGGAGAGACGUGGGAGGACCAAAAUAACAUCUUGUCAGCCUGGAUAAGACUCUACCUUAGCAGAGAUCUCUUUAUGGACAAGAUGAAUGGAAGGAUCCUAUUUGGGACCUGAAAUAAUCACAUUCAGGAGCUGCUCUUGGUUCUCUGACUCCUCCGUGGCGUAAGUGGGGUCCCCUCCUUGGAGGUGGCUCCCUCCGUCACACGAUUUCCUGGCCCUCCCCUGGCUCAGGGAAUUCCUCCACGAUUCGUCUCCCUCCCUUCUUCCUCGCCAGGCCUCCUCCCUGGGUCUCCAUCAUCUCCGGUUUACUCCUUGCCUCACCCGUCUCAUCAAGCCUUUUGGAUUGCUCGAUGCAGAAGGCGCUCUGUGCUCAGCUCCUAUGAAUUGUCUCCACGUGCCAGGCCAAAGGUAGGUACAAGAGGCCAGGAGCUGGGACAUCUGCUGUGCAAGUCAAAGUCAACAAUGUCUUUGAAGCCACCAGUGGGGCAAGAGAGCUGCUGAGGUCACCACGAAAGCUCUGUGGACAGGCUGCAAAGCCACCAAUCCCACAUCCUUUCCCUACCGUGGUCAGCAUUGCAGAAUGGGAGAAGUUGAGUGAAACAGUGAGUCUGUCCGUUCUCGCUCACUUUUUAAUUUGCAAAUCCUCUUCCUAAGACACCGGCAUGAGUCUGUGUGGGCUGGGCCACAGAACACUUUGUGGGACAGACACUGUCCUGAAUCAAAAUGGCCCUUUUCUUCCAAAGUUGGGUCAUUGGCUUUGGCCACUCUGUGCUUUUCCACUCCCUUUCCUCCUAAGAUGAGUUAUUUCCCAGGAAGUUCCAAAGAUUUCAGCAAAUGUAUCCUUGAUGGGGUCAGCCAUAUACCCAGGCCACAGAGACAUGCCUGUCAGAAUCAUAGGAUGAACACAGGUUAGUCUGGCCCAUGGGAGCCCUGCCCCUAAAUAAACAGUAACACAGAGCAAUGAGGUCGGUACCAUCAGAGAGUGCAGUGUGCUGCCAAAAGAAUGCUUUUCCAAAGGAAAAACAAUGUAAAAAAAAAUCUUUCUAGUAAUCCAAGCAUCUUUGUGAAAAAUGUUGAUAAUACCCCUAAGAAUUCUGCAAGAAAAAAAGACUCAAGAAGCCCUGUUUUGACUGUCGCCCAGCCAGCCCCCAGGGUGGGCUCUGUGUAGGUCACUUACAAGGCAGUCUUUUCUGUUUCUCUCCCUUGGGAAGCUCCCUCGAGCCACAGGACCUGAUCAAGGACACAUUUUGAGUUUGUUGUAUUUUUUGACCAGUGUUUUGUCACCCACUGAUUUGAGGCACUUUCAAUGCAGAGUCACCGUUGGAAUGGGAUGGACCCAAGGUAGAUGCCACAACCACCAAAGCAGUGACCUUUAAACAUUCACGGAGCACAGGGGUGGAUAAUGAUGAGUUCAGAAUGCUGUUAGGGCAGAAUGUUGUCCCUGACACCAGCCCUUUAUCCCAGAUCCCUUUCUCAAAGAGGUCCCCAAGGGAAAACAUUCACACCUCAAAAGCCAGCAAAAUAAAGAACAUAGGAUUCUCUCACUAAUCAUUCACAUAACACUUUUAUUUUCUCUUUGGAAUAGCAUUGUCGAGGUGUUCACUCCCAUUUCACAAUUAAGAAACCAUCAGUUCCCGCCAUGUUCCUGGCCCCACAGCUUCAUCAAGGCCAUUGCACGCCUCCUUCCUCGGUCUGACUUACCCUCUGCCAGCUCCUGGGCUGUUUCCUUCUCUCCAGCUGAAAAGCCAACAGAUUCUUAACACUAUUUUACUAUAGUUGGCAAAGAUUCUCUUCUUUCACAUUAGAAUGGAUUUAUUCCAGUUGAAUCCCAACUCGUUUCAUCUUACCCAGGGAGGAGCCAUCAAGCCCAAAUGACAGUCAAUGGGAUGUUUAAAGAGUAUGAGCCAUGGAUAACUUAGCAAUUUUGUGUCUGGACAAGCGACCUUUCUCCAUAUGUGGCUGGAUUGGGGCACUGUGCAGCCUCCCAGUUGUCAAGUUCCGGGAGAACGAGACUGUGGGUGCCAAGUCUUCAGAAUUCCUCAGGAUUGGCUACCACUACCCGCACCUCCAUCCCACCGGUGCUCUCUCCUGGGACUGCCAGAAUGGCAGAACUACACUUUCUUUCAGACUCAGGCUCCUUCUCUUGCUAUGUGUAGUUUGUAAAAUGGCGCUUAACCCUCCUCCCAUUCAGAUGCACAUUCUCUGCAACUUCCUCUGGAAGCUGGAAGGACUAACUUUAACUAGUAGAGGACAGCAAAAGGGAGGCUGUGUGAUGUCUGAAGCCAGGACAAAAGAGACCACGUAGUUUCUGCCUCGUUCACUGGUACGUUUGCACCUGAAGUCCUGACUGUCAGGUAAGAAGUCCAAUCACUUGGAGGCCACCAUGCUCGGAGGAAGCCCAAGCCAGGCCAGAGGCCAUGAGGAAGGGCUCUGAUCAACAGUCCCAACUGAGCCCAGGCUUCAAAUCACUCCAGCCCAGGCACCAUACAGGUGAGUGAAGAAGCUUCCAGAAGCUUCCAGUCACUCAGUCUUUCACUUAGUGGAACAGAGAGAAACCAUUGCCACUGAGCCCCACCUGAGUUCCUGACCCACAAAAUCCAUGAGCAUAACAGAGUGGCUGCUUUUCCACCUCGAUGUAUGGGGAGUUUUGUUCUGAGGCAACCAAUGACUUGGGCACCGCUUGAUAGCUCUGCCCCUUGGUCUUCACACACGUGUGGGAAGUCUUCCUCUUUUAUCUUCUCUUUAUGUCUUCCUUCUCUUUCACCCAGCAUCUAUUACAUCUGGAGAAAUCCUGAACUCUUCCAGUCCCUUCUAGAGAAGCCAAAGGAACAUCUUUCAAUUGUUUAUUAACAAUAAUUCGUCACUCUUUUACAGAUCUAUAGAAAUAUGUCAAAGAGAGAAGCCACAGAGGCACACACAGCUGAGGUGGGUGGCAGGUCCACGUUUAGCCAUUUGCGCCACUGACCCUGAUUUUCAAUGAUCUGUGAGGAUGUAGAGGGAAAGGGGAAAUGAAUCUGAACACAAGGGAAGUUACGCCAUCAGGGCACUCUCGGUGGAAGAGUUCCCAUCAGCUGUGAGUCGUGCAAGAAGGAAGCUGUCAGGUAAAUGGCGAUGUCCGUGUGAUAAGUUUGCAACCACACAAAAUGAUGCCAGUGGGGACAGUAGAGACUGUAGUAUGCGUUUCCUGAGGAAAACAGACUUGUGUGCACUGAAAAUAGUUCUGGAUAAAGCAAUUUAAAAAGAAGAGAGACAACCCCAGGAGACAGUGCUCACAUAGGACAGGAAAUGUGUACAAGAAUGUUCACUGCAGCCCUGGGGCCUCAGCAGAGACGUGGAAGCAACCUCAUGCCAGCCAGAGGAUGCGUAGACAAAUGAACUCUUCAUUAUUACAUAGCGAUGUCACAAAACGGUACAGAAAGCAAAGUGAGGGAAUGCCGGACCCAGGGUUCCGGGUGAUGGUUAGCCUCACGUGGAAGAAGGCAGGAGGAUGCGAAGGGGAAGAAACCACAUGGCUGCAUGUAGGUCAUUGUCAAAGUGCCAGCUUUUGUUUUGGGUGGUGAGUUGUCAGGUGCUUAAAAACAACUAAAUAAGUAAAUAAACAAAUGUGGGUCACCCAUGGAUCCAUGACGAGGGCGUGUCAGGAAGCAAGGAUUGCCAUUUAUUCACUUCCAGGUACGUGAGGCCCAACAGAGCAAAGAGACAGAGACCACGAAUAUGGGAGGAGAGAAGGUGUGGAAAGCGGGUGGAGAUGCUCUUUCAAGAAGAAGAGGAGGACGGUAGCCAGGGGCGUCGAUAAGGUCUCAAGGUGGUUUGUGUGGGUGUGUGUUAGCUUAUUUGCUAACGGCAAUGAUCCAGUAGCCGGAAAGACUAAUGAUGCAGGAGAGAAGGAGAUUCAGGACGGACAUCCUUGAGGAGGCAAGACGGAAGGUGACCCAGUGCCAGACGAGUUUCUCCCUUGGGAGCAAAUUUUUCUUCUUCCCAAUGCAUCUGCAAAGGAGCUUAUUGCCACCUGACAAGAUCUCCUCUCCAACAACAGGAGCGUGGUGCCAGGUCUUAACUAAGACUUCUACCCCUAUCCACGCAGCUCAGCAUACAAACCAACCUACGUUGACACAAGAGGCAUCUUCUCAUUGGCAGGGAUUUGAAAAGCCACAGACCCCCGCUAUCCCCUUCCACCUGCUCCCAGUUCCCCCAAAUCCUACUUCUGUCCCGACUCUCCUGGGAGAAGGAGGAGUCCCCACUUUUCCAAGGGGGCUCAUUUGGCAGCUGUUUAACCACAGCUUGGUUUGGGGGCUCCCCUGCUUGUCCACAGAGGGACCCUGAGGCUCCCUGUUUCUGCCCAGACCCACCCACACCUUCCCAGUUCACAAACCCUGAGCUCCAGGCAGCUGGGCAUUCGACUUCCCCAUCAUGCUGCUCCCAGAAGGUCUGUAAGAUGUUAUUCCAGGCUCUAUUCACAUGCUGCUCCCCACAUGAAGCAUCUCCAGCCUCCUGUCCAGCCUGCCCGCCUCUCCCCUGCCACCCGCAUCUCCCAAGGACUCGUUGUGUCCCGGUCAUCUUGUGCGCCCCAUGACAGCCAUGCUCCCCAAGCCCUCUUCUCCCCUCCCAGGCAUGAGGGUCCUGACUCCCCCCUAGAGAGGGGAUGGGGAGCCAGGAAUCAUGCCAAACCCUAAGACCAACCCAUCAGUCAAAACUGAGCCUGAGCGACCCAUAGUUUUACUUUCCUGAAAAUCCUUGUGCUUUCUCUAAAAAGCGGACUUCUCCUUUGUGAGCAGGCUCUUCACCCUGUGGCUGGAAACGGAUACCUCCAACUCCUUCUGGAACGUUCCUCCCAGGUUCAUCCUGGGACCGCCCUCCCCAGCACCUCUUCCCUCCUCCGUCCCCCGUGGAGACUCCCGCCAGCGGGGCUGGUGGAGAACUUGACCUCGGGUCUCAUCCUGCCCCAGCCCCGUCAUGCCCACUCCUGGAUGCUCAUGGCCAGGGGUUCGCCACACUAUUUCCUCUACUGCCCCCUCGUCCCUGUUCCCAUAGUACACUUGCUCCGCCCCUCCAGUUCCUUGCAGCCCUGCUGCACCAUCUGGCCAGACUGGAGGAAGAGGCUGACCCGGGCAGUUGCGCUCCCUUCUGCUUCUUGGGGAGCUGGGGGCAGGAACCCAUCCCUGGCUGGAGGGGCUAGGAGAGGCUCUCGUUGAUUUCUCCCCUCUCCUGGCCAGCUUUCCUUUCCUCCCUGCGGCCUUGACCACCCCCUGCCUCCCACCCCAGACCCUUUCCCACAACAAGGGAGGUGGGCUGGAGCCAAACGACAGGGCGGGCCCUGGUUUUGCACACUUGGCUUCUGUCCAUUAUCUGGCUGUCAGCAAGAAUCCGAGGUGAGGGACCCACAAUACUACACACUACAUUGCCUGUACAUUUCCCAAAGUUUCCAUCUCCAGCUGUGCCUGAGGAAGUUGAGGAAUGAGGGCUGUGGCCUUCAGAGCAGAGAUUUCUCAUAGCCCUCUCAUCCUGGGGCGCGAGGACCCCUAACAGGAGGGCGGUGAACCAAAUCCACUGGGUGGAGGGUGGGAAACAUCUGGGAACUCUCACAUUCAGGGCCCAUCCUCCUUUCAAGAAUUUUCAGAUACCAUUUUCUCCUAGGAGAGGAAUCUCCACUCCUUCCACUCCUGAGCCAAAAUAAGAGACAGGUUUCCUCAGCAACCGCGGAAACAUCUCAAGAGAGCGGUUAUAUUGUUUUGAAGUGUUUUGAAAUCUUAUCAAUGGUUUCCAGGGAAACCCAGGAUGAUGAAUGGAGGCCUUGCUAGGUAACUUUAAGAAGAGGCAUGGGCAAACGUAUUUGAAUUCACAGUAUGCAUGUAUUCGGCUAUUUAUUAAGGCAGAAGAGUAUAUUUCACUCACAUCUGGCAUUUUAAUUUUACCGCCAGUUCAGUCUUUCUACAUUCACUCCUUGGGGAGGUCUAUAUUAUUUGGUUCGUAAUUUAAGAAAUUACAGAAAAUUUUAAAAUUACGGAAUUUGUCAAUCCCAGGAGAAUCAAAAUUUUAAUUAAUAUUAUGUCUUAACGUUUGGGGAAAUAAGGAUUUAAAGCAGCAACUCAGCUGCCAAAUUUGGGUCAGAACAGUUUGUAGAUCAAGUGGCAGCCGUGUCCCCAGGAGAAAUGGUGCAGUGACAAAUUGGCUCAGUGAAAAAUGACCCAAACCCUUGAUGUUUCACACCAGACCAUCCUCGCUGUGACUCUCCCUUGCUAGUCACUCCCGCCCUAUUUACCAGUCAAAAAAUGUCUGGCAGGUCUGACUCUCCAAUGGAUAUUGGCUCUUAAUUUUUUAGUUUUUGCAUCCAUUGAGAUGACUAGAUGCUUUUGCGUUUCUUCAGCAGGCGACACUUUUCUUUUCUUGGCCUGUGCUCAUCUCUCAGGAUCUCCCACCUCUCAAUUUCACCUUUGUCCUCAUUCAUUGUGUGACGAUUGAGGAUGUCUCCCUAGUUCUCUGAAAAUGGCUCCAAGGAACGGUGAUGGAAAAGCACCAGCAUCCUCUAAGUCCAGUCAAUCUUAUAUCACCACAUCUCUCGAG
ensembl:lncRNA